rnacentral:rRNA from 1 species
GUCUCUUUGUAAUUUAUAGAUAGAGAGUCGGGCCUGCUCGGUGAAUAAUUAGUUUUAACAGCUGCGGUAUUUUAACUGUACUAAGGUAGCAUAAUAAUUUGCCUUAUAAUUUGAGGCUAGAAUGAAUGGUUUGACGAAGGUUAAUCUGUCUCUGUCCUAUUUUUUAGAAAUUAAUUUUUAAAGUGAAAAAGCUUGUAUUUUUUAAAGGGACGAGAAGACCCUAUUGAGCUUAUAAUUUUAUUACUAUUUGUUUUAUGUACGGGGUGGUAUAUAAAUUUUAAUUGGGGUGAUUAAGGAAUAAAUUAAUAUAGUAACUUCCUUAGAUUUAAUAUUGUUGAAUGAAGUAACCAAUAUUAUUGCUUAUAGUAUAGUUACCAUAGGGAUAACAGCGUAAUUUAUUUAGAGAGUUCUUAUUGAAAAAUGAGAUUGCGACCUCGAUGUUGGAUUAAAGUAACCUUAAGGUGCAGAAGCUUUAGGAGGUAAAUCUGUUCGAUUUUUAAAACUUUACA